rnacentral:rRNA from 1 species
UCCUACGGGAGGCAGCAGUGAGGAAUAUUGCGCAAUGGGGGAAACCCUGACGCAGCAACGCUGCGUGGGCGAUGAAGGCCUUCGGGUUGUAAAGCCCUUUUCUGGGGGACGAGAAAGGACGGUACCUCAGGAAUAAGUCACGGCUAACUACGUGCCAGCAGCCGCGGUAAAACGUAGGUGGCGAGCGUUAUCCGGAUUUACUGGGCGUAAAGCGCGUGCAGGCGGCUUCGUAAGUCGGACGUGAAAGCUCCUGGCUCAACUGGGAGAGGCCGUUCGAUGCUGCUGAGCUUGAGGUCGGGAGAGGGAAGUGGAAUUCCCGGUGUAAUGGUGGAAUACUUCUAUAUCGGGAGGGACAACAGUGGCAAAGGAGGCUUCCUGGCCCGUACCUGAAGCUA